GUGAUCAGUUCGGCAGCACUUAUACUAAAGUUGGAACAAUACAGAAAAGAUUAACAUAGCUCCUGUGUCAUUAGGAUGACAAGUAAAUUUGUAGAGUGUUCCAAUAUUUUU
ensembl:snRNA U6 U6 spliceosomal RNA